GACGGAGGAUGCAAGUGUUAUCCGGAAUCACUGGGCGUAAAGCGUCUGUAGGUGGUUUAAUAAGUCAACUGUUAAAUCUUGAGGCUCAACCUCAAAAUCGCAGUCGAAACUAUCAGGCUAGAGUAUAGUAGGGGUAAAGGGAAUUUCCAGUGGAGCGGUGAAAUGCGUAGAGAUUGGAAAGAACACCGAUGGCGAAGGCACUUUACUGGGCUAUUACUAACACUCAGAGACGAAAGCUAGGGUAGCAAAUGGG
rnacentral:rRNA from 1 species